CGGCCUGCAAGGACCUCAGCCAUGCCUGGGGGGGGGGGGGUCGGGGAUGCUCGGGCGAGACUCCUGUGCCCCACCCAGCAAGAGGGUGCCAGGAGAGCUUUAUUUAGGAAGAUAGAUCUGCCGGCAAAGUGUACAGUGGAUUAAAGCGCAAGAGACAGGAGAGGAAGAGGCCAUCGGGCUUUGUGGCGGCACCUUGGUGUGGGAGAAACGAGGUCUGAGCUGAGGGACAGCACGGGGCUCUGCCGAGGACGCGGUCACCUACCGAUAUCUCAUUCCCUCCGGUCAGAGAAAGGCCCGGUCCGCCUGCAGGAAAUACGGCCCCCGGCAGCCCUGGGCAAGCCACUCCAGCAGGAAAAGUCUUCCUCUCGUUGUGAGCGCAGCACUCAAAGCAAGGACUCUGGCCGACCGUCCUCUGCUUGGGCCAUCGCUGCUGGGGGCUCAGGUCCUCUCAUCCACAGUCUGAACGGAAGCUCCUGGAGUAAAAUAAGGCCGCGUCUCUCCCCGCAAAAGUGCUGAACGGACGAGGAAAAACGCCCUUUACACCCACUGAUCAACUAAUAAGGUUUCUGUGGGCAGAAAGGCCACGUGAGGGAAACUAAGGCAGAAUGAUGGUUAGGAUCGCAGGCUCUGGAAACAGCAUGCCCGGGCGAAUUCCAGCUUCACGGUUACAUGCUGUGGGACCUUGAGCAAAUUAUAUAUCCUCUUUAAGCCUCAAUGAUUUCGUCUGUAAAAUAAGGAGAAUACGAUUGCUUGUGUCAAUAAGUUACUGUGAGGAUUAAGUUGGUGUAAUUGGCAGCGCAGAAAAUAAGGUCGGCUGUUACCACUGGAACUACUGCUACUACCACUGGUAUUAAGUGCAUACAGCAAGUGUAUAAUAAGUGAUAGACUCUGAACUAACAAUGCCUUUGACCCCUGACCUAGAACGGUCCCACCUCCCCAAGAAUUAAGGGCAGGUGAACACUGGAGAGUGGCCCGUGGUGUGGCUGGCCGUGGACUUGAGCUGAUUAUGCUGCUGGUAUUCCUGGCUCCUCCUCUCUUGUACCUAUGAUGGACCCUAUCUCACAGAACAGGAAACUGAGGCACAGAGCUAUGAGCUUGCUGGGGAGGUCACAUGCUGGCACCGGGGGGUGUGCUCUCCUCCAGGGGGCCUGCUGGGGGGUGGCCCGGAGGAGCAGGCCCCAGGCUCCCCUGCCAGACAGAUGAGCCUGCUGUCUCCUGCGUCGCUGCACUGGCCUGCUAGGCUGCCGGGCUCACAGCUGGCACCCGCCGUUUCAAACACUCAUGGGCAGAUGUCAACCAUGACAGCUGGUGGAGAAGAAAACAGAGGAAUGCAGAAUUCAGACCCCCCAGAUGGGGGCGAAUUUGAAGUCCUCUAGAUGAGGUUUCGCAGGCUGUGCCAUGGCCCACUUCCGUGCAACCUUACGCCUGAUUUUUGUGACGAAGAAAGAGUGAGUGUAAUCUACUCAAAAUGUUUCCACUGCCUUUUUUCACCAUCCAGGAAUUGCGCAAUGCUUGGGGUGGGGUGGGUCGCCCUGCUUCUCUCCGUCACUCAGCCCGCAGUCUGGCAGCCGGCACUGGAUUUCUGCGGGUGUCUCACUGCACUAGCAGUACAGCUGUGACUCAGCCGGUGAGCACUCCCUUUUCCACAGUGUGACAUGUCAACCUUCUUUCCUUGCUGCGACAUGUUUCUGGCCCUGUGGCCGAUAAACAAGGCAACCCAGUCAGGAAACCAAAGCGCAUUCCCCAGUUCUGAGUCAAAGUGGGGAGUCCGCCGACGCUGACCAGGAAGACAUGCUCUCACACCUCGCUCAGUCCUCUCUGGGAGUUUUCCCUUCUUCACCCGCCCCCCUUCCCACCCUCCUGGCCCCUGAGAAAAGAGGGCAGCACUUGGGAGCUCUUUUUACCUGAUGCAUCAAUCCAGGGGCAAGGUCUUUUAUGCUGCAUGUAUCAGAAGAGAGAAGGUCUCCAUCACCGAUGUGUUUUAAACGGACUACUUGUUUCUGCAAGGUUUGACACGUCUUGUGUGGACAGGAGGGGGCUCUGGGGGGUCUCACCGCUGGGGUGACGGUCAUGGAGAAAACGUGUCCAAAGGAUGGAAAGGCAGAGAUUUGAGCUUCACUUUCCUUCUCUGGGAGUGGAAUGAAAAAUAACUCCGGUCUGGUUUGCUGUGAGAACUAGGGUGAUUUUCAUUUGUAACCUGGAGUUACUCAGAGCCCGGGACCUAAGAUGCCUGGGGGGAAGGCAGCCCCUGCUGGGCGUCUGGCCCCACAGGACGGGCAGCCUGACUCCAGAUCAAAGGGCCGCCAGCGAAUGCAUUCACUCUGGACGACUUCUCCUCCCUCCCCAAGCCUCGGAUCCACUGGACGCGUGCCCAUCCGGGCUCAGGCCUGUCGGCGGCUGUUUUUGGAGCAAGGGUGUCUCGAGGUCACAUUUAGAGCAUAGAUUUCCACGUCUGGUGAAACAACCAGAGUGUGUUUACCAACGUGAAUGAUAUUUUCAAGGUCAAUGCUGGGUUUCUAGCAAGAGAAAAAAGCAAUUGGUAUUCAGGACAGAAAAAAGCAAACAAAGUCACAGGUCUGUGGUGGAAGCUGUGCCACCCGCAGUGUUAGGGGUGCCUCUCUCCACCCCUCUUCACUGCGCGCCCCACCCUGUCACCAACGAACCGGCUUUCACCCUGGAAACACACAGGUACAUGAAUUUGGGACCAGGUUACCUCCCCCCUGCCUUUCUUAAAGGAGAAGAGUUGUUUUUGUAUUUGGAAAACAGCUCUUCUUGCCGCACGUGAACGAUGCCGGCAUGUUCUCAGCGUAAACGCCAUUGCAGAUGAGAAGAUGGAAAACCAAGGAGACAGGAACGUAGUCCUUUCAGUCAGUGGAGCACAGCGACAACGCGCUCAGGCUACAAAGCUGCCAGCCGCCCUUGACUCCCCUCCCCUUCGUGCGCACCUCCCCGCCCACACCCUCCCCUCCCGAGUCUCUCCGCUGCCCCUUCUCCUGCUGCCCUUGGUGUCCUCCCAGCCUCCUGCUCAACCCCACAGCUGCGUGCAGACCCACUUCGACCAGAGGGCUCCGGGUGGAAUGCAAACCUCACCACUUCAUUCCCUCUCCACGCCCUCAUCCUCUCCUCUGGGCUAAAACCCGAGCUCCUUGGCGUGUGCACUUGGGCACCUUAGCAAUUUAGCCACUGCUCAUCUCUUUAGCCAGCUCUACUGGGUCCCCUCAAGCCCAAACUUCCUGUCCUUUCCUGGACCCCAGCAGGUUGGGUUCGUGAGCGGCAGGACCCUGUGCAGAAUGGAACAACAGGGCCCCGUGUUCAAACACAGAUACGAAGAUGAAAUUAAGAAUUUCAAAAUGAAGACCACAGGGCAUUCGACUGCAAGCACGGGGCCUGUGAGACCACGUGGGUCGCCUGAGCACGAAGCACGUUUUGUCAGUGUCCUUGCUCCAGUGGGGCUUGGCCCAGAGUGUCCCGCCGUCCUCCGCUUCUCUGCUGCCCCUCCUCCCUGUCCCUGCCCAGAAGCCUUCCCAAGUUCCCAUUCCACCACCCUGCGGCCCCACCGUGGAGGCCAGUGAUUCCACAGGACGAUUCCCCUGACCCCCGGACCCCUACCAAGGAGGCACCGGGGGCAGGGAUUUAGGUGAAUCUGUCCCUCGGGGGCCUGGGCCAAGGCAUCUGCGAGUCCCAAGCAGAUCCGUGUGCACAGAAAUCACUGAAGUCUGCCCUCUGCCGCCCACCCCCAGCCUCCGUGUCGGGCUCUGCCUUCGGUUCCGUUCCCUUCACCCCCAGCCCAGCGUCCUGCACUGUGUCGAGGCCGACAGUCAUUUGUUGGCUGAAGCCCAUUCCAACCUCAGGGCUGCCCUCCUCCCACCUGAGCUUCCCGCUGUCCUCACGGCCUCGCUGGCUGGGCGCAACCCGCUGGGGACUGUGUGGCUGGCACCGUGUGGACAGAGCUGCCAGGUGGUGCGUGUUGGGUUUUGGCCUCCAUUAUCCUGAACCCCAAGGGAGACCCUGAGCGUCUGCCUGGGCUUCCUGAGAAGCUCUGGAAGGAGAGCGAAGCGCUCGCUCCACAGCUGGGCACGUGAGUGAGAAUCUCAUUGUCUCUGGUUGAGAGCCCUCGAGUGAGUCUCCAGACCGUGGGCCAAGGAGCCGGUGAACGAUGGCACCACGAGGCCCCAGCCUGCUGGCACCUCCUUCUCUCACAGAGUUGGCACCGAGACGUGAGCUAAAAGCCAGGGCCUCGCGCUGGCCCCUGCGGGGCCCAGAGCUGGAGGGAGCAGGGCACUGUGGCUGGGUUUGCCCUGGCCCUGGCCCCGGUGUCGGUGUCGGGAGUGUCAAUCAGAAGGCUCCAGACCUGGGCUCAGGCCUGGCGGAGCUCGGUCCCUGCCCCUCCAACCCCAGGCUCUCAGAGAGCGCCCAGGACACCACAAAGAUGCAAAGACAGACCACCGCAGCCCGGAGGCCUCACGCGGGGGGUCUCCCAAAGCACUGGCAUUUCUUUGCAGGGAGGGGGGGAAAGAGGCUGCCUGGGGUAGGGGGAGGUGUGCAGAGGACUGU